CAGCCGCCGCGGUAAUACGGAGGGAGCUAGCGUUGUUCGGAAUUACUGGGCGUAAAGCGCGCGUAGGCGGUUACUCAAGUCAGAGGUGAAAGCCCGGGGCUCAACCCCGGAACUGCCUUUGAAACUAGGUGACUAGAAUCUUGGAGAGGUCAGUUGAAUUCCGAGUGUAGAGGUGAAAUUCGUAGAUAUUCGGAAGAACACCAGUGGCGAAGGCGACUGACUGGACAAGUAUUGACGCUGAGGUGCGAAAGCGUGGGGAGCAAACAGGAUUAGAUACCCCAGUAGUCCCUGUCUCUUAUAC
rnacentral:rRNA from 1 species